GGAAAUCGAACAAAAAUAGACCACAACUCCAUUUGAUGAAGUAGUAGUAGUAGUCGUGGAAGAAGGAGAAGAAGAAGAGAACUCGAACCUCUCGAAGCGAUGGCGGCGCCGACGAUCGCCUCCGCUUGCUUCUCUUCUCUCUCCCCUUUAUCUCCCCGCUUCUCCAAUGGAAGACCCUCGCGAAUCCUCGCCAUGGCGCCCAAACAGAAGGUCAACCGAUACGACGACAACUGGAAGAAGCAAUGGUACGGAGCGGGUCUCUUCGCGGAGGGAAGCGAGGAGUUGUCCGUCGACGUCGUGAAGAAGCUGGAGACGCGCAAGGUGCUAUCCGGCGUGGAGAAGUCCGGGCUGCUCUCCAAGGCGGAGGAGCUCGGCAUCACGCUCUCCUCCAUCGAGAGGCUGGGCUUCCUGUCCAAGGCGGAGGAGCUCGGCCUUCUCAGCCUCCUGGAGCGCGCCGCUGGGUUCUCCCCCUCUGCUCUCGCCUCCGUCUCCCUCCCUCUCCUCGUCGCCGCCGUCGCCGCCAUCGUCCUCAUCCCGGACGACUCCGCCGCGCUAGUAGCCGCGCAGGCCUUUCUUUCCGCCGCUCUCGGCGUCGUUGCCGCUGGUCUCUUCGUCGGCUCCGUCGUCCUGGGCGGGUUGCAGGAAUCGGACUGAGUGAUGGACGAGUUUGGCUUUUGUAUACCGAGUUCAACUCGCGUGGAUCGGAGGGAGGUGACAGCCCAGACUACUUACUGCAUGGUGGCACCCUCUGAAGAUCCGAUAGUAAACAACUAAUGAACCACAAUCCUCACAUCAACAUGCCCCAGUUAGCACCGGGAGAAUUUAAUGGAUCAGCUGUCAUUCAAUUUUCAGUGAUCAGUCAUUGUUGCAAAGAAAUGUAACGAAGUAGGACAACCAAAAGUCUGUAAUCAGACAGUGCAAUCGGUUAUACUGUUCAUGUUGUUGCU